GACGAACGCUGGCGGCGUGCUUAACACAUGCAAGUCGAACGAAGAGCGAUGGAAGCUUGCUUCUAUCAAUCUUAGUGGCGAACGGGUGAGUAACGCGUAAUCCACCCUGCCCCUUCAGAGGGGGACAACAGUUGGAAACGACUGCUAAUACCGCAUACGAUCUAAUCUCGGCAUCGAGGAUAGAUGAAAGGUUGGCCUCUACAUGUAAGCUAUCACUGAAGGAGGGGAUUGCGUCUGAUUAGCUAGUUGGAGGGGUAACCGGCCCACCAAGGCGAUGAUCAGUAGCCCGUCUGAGAGGAUGAACGGCCACAUUGGGGACUGAGACACGGCCCCAGACUCCUACGGGAGGGCAGCAGUGGGGAAUCUCCGCAAUGGACGAAAGUCUGACGGAGCAACGCCGCGUGAGUGAUGACCGCCUUCGGGCUGUAAAGCUCUGUUAAUCGGGACGAAAGGCCUUUCUUGCGAAUAGUUAGAAGGAU
rnacentral:rRNA from 1 species